rnacentral:rRNA from 1 species
AGCGAACGCUGGCGGCAGGCCUAACACAUGCAAGUCGAGCGCCCAGCAAUGGGAGCGGCAGACGGGAUAGUAACACGUGGGAACGUACCUUUCAGUUCGGAACAACCCAGGGAAACUUGGGCUAAUACCGAAUACGUCCGUAAGGAGAAAGAUUUAUCGCUGAAAGAUCGGCCCGCGUCUGAUUAGCUAGUUGGUGAGGUAAUGGCUCACCAAGGCGACGAUCAGUAGCUGGUCGAGAGGAUGAUCAGCAUCACUGGGACUGAGACACGGCCCAGACUCCUACGGGAGGCAGCAGUGGGGAAUAUUGGACAAUGGGCGCAAGCCUGAUCCAGCCAUGCCGCGUGGAUGAUGAAGGCCUUAGGGUUGU